rnacentral:rRNA from 1 species
AGCAGCCGCGGUAAUUCCAGCUCCAAUAGCGUAUAUUAAAGUUGUUGCAGUUAAAAAGCUCGUAGUUGAAUUUCGGGAUCAAUUAAUUGGUCGUGCCUCUGGUACGUACUGAUUUUAUUGGUUUCUCCCUUCUGACGAACCAUGAUGUCAUUAAUUUGGUGUCGUGGAGAAUCAGGACUGUUACUUUGAAAAAAUUAGAGUGUUUAAAGCAAGCUAACGCUUGAAUACAUUAGCAUGGAAUAAUGAAAUAGGACGUUUGAUCCUAUUUUGUUGGUUUCUAGGAUCGACGUAAUGAUUAAUAGGGAUAGUUGGGGGCAUUAGUAUUCAAUUGUCAGAGGUGAAAUUCUUGGAUUUAUUGAAGACUAACUACUGCGAAAGCAUUUGCCAAGGAUGUUUUCAUUAAUCAAGAACGAAAGUUAGGGGAUCGAAGACGAUCAGAUACCGUCGUAGUCUUAACCAUAAACUAUGCCGACUAGGGAUCGGAUGAUGUUAAUUUUUUAAUGACUCA